AUUGAACGCUGGCGGCAGGCCUAACACAUGCAAGUCGAACGAGUGGCGGACGGGUGAGUAAUGUCUGGGAAACUGCCUGAUGGAGGGGGAUAACUACUGGAAACGGUAGCUAAUACCGCAUACCAUCGGAUGUGCCCAGAUGGGAUUAGCUAGUAGGUGGGGGAAAGGCUCACCUAGGCGACGCUCCCUAGCUGGUCUGAGAGGAUGACCAGCCACACUGGAACUGAGACCCGGUCCAGACUCAUACGUGAGGCAUCCGUGGGGAAUAUUGCACCAUUGGCGCAAGCCUGAUGCAGCCAUGCCGCGUGUCUGACGAAGGCCUUCGGGUUGUAAAGUACUUUCAGCGGGGAGUCUUUACCCGCAGAAGAAGCACCGGCUAACUCCGUGCCAGCAGCCGCGGUAAUAC
rnacentral:rRNA from 1 species